AAGGGUAAAGAGAUGAUAAGAGAAGAUGCAUCCUGAACAACUUUUAUUUUGGCUUGAAGCAUUUGCUGUUAUGCUGUGUGGAGGGAAGGGGAACCUGCUAGUUAGGAACAUGUGGCAUACAUGUACUAGAAGUUACCAUAGAGACUGCAUACACUAAGAGUGCAGCAUUGUGAUUGGUGGGAAAGAUACAUUUUGCAGAAGCUUUUCUGGAGAGAUAAAGGUAAGACACAAGAAAGAAAGUGAGACUGCCAAUAAAGGGGCAGAGCACAGAGAAGUCCCAAACAACCAUACAUUCUAGAAAACUGGGACAGCAGAGAUUAUAACUACUACUAUAAAACUACAUAAACUGUUCACUCAAUGGCUGCCUGUCAGGAAAAUUUCAAGUAUAGUCAGACAGAACAGACACAAGAUAUUCUAGAAUAAAAAGGUAAACAAGUAAACCUACUGAGGUUAUAGGGGCGACAAAAGGGAAAUGGCAAGAAAACAUUUAAAAAUGAUUCAACGCUAGAAAAAAAAAGAAUCUCAGAGAGCAAUAAAAUUUAAAGUUACAUUUCUGUAGGAUGGCUGACUUACAGAGAGGCUGACCUUUGGGGAAUUAUUUAAAUUCUGAGUACCUCUGCUUCCUUCCCUAUG
rnacentral:lncRNA from 1 species